rnacentral:rRNA from 1 species
ACUCCUACGGGAGGCAGCAGUGGGGAAUAUUGGACAAUGGGCGCAAGCCUGAUCCAGCCAUACCGCGUGGGUGAAGAAGGCCUUCGGGUUGUAAAGCCCUUUUGUUGGGAAAGAAAUCCAGCCGGCUAAUACCUGGUUGGGAUGACGGUACCCAAAGAAUAAGCACCGGCUAACUUCGUGCCAGCAGCCGCGGUAAUACGAAGGGUGCAAGCGUUACUCGGAAUUACUGGGCGUAAAGCGUGCGUAGGUGGUUGUUUAAGUCUGUUGUGAAAGCCCUGGGCUCAACCUGGGAACUGCAGUGGAAACUGGACAACUAGAGUGUGGUAGAGGGUAGCGGAAUUCCCGGUGUAGCAGUGAAAUGCGUAGAGAUCGGGAGGAACAUCCAUGGCGAAGGCAGCUACCUGGACCAACACUGACACUGAGGCACGAAAGCGUGGGGAGCAAACAGGAUU